rnacentral:rRNA from 1 species
CCUACGGGUGGCAGCAGUAGGGAAUAUUGCUCAAUGGGGGAAACCCUGAAGCAGCAACGCCGCGUGGAGGAUGAAGGUUUUCGGAUUGUAAACUCCUUUUGUUAGAGAAGAUAAUGACGGUAUCUAACGAAUAAGCACCGGCUAACUCCGUGCCAGCAGCCGCGGUAAUACGGAGGGUGCAAGCGUUACUCGGAAUCACUGGGCGUAAAGAGCGCGUAGGCGGGAUAGCAAGUCAGAUGUUAAAUCCUAGGGCUUAACCAUAGAACUGCAUUUGAAACUGUUAUUCUAGAGUAUGGGAGAGGUAGGUGGAAUGCUUGGUGUAGGGGUAAAAUCCGUAGAGAUCAAGAGGAAUACUCAUUGCGAAGGCGACCUGCUAGAACAUAACUGACGCUGAUGCGCGAAAGCGUGGGGAGCAAACAGGAUUAGAUACCCUUGUAGUC